rnacentral:rRNA from 1 species
CGCGCAGGUGGUUGAUUAGGUCUGAUGUGAAAGCCCACGGCUUAACCGUGGAGGGUCAUUGGAAACUGGUCGACUUGAGUGCAGAAGAGGGAAGUGGAAUUCCAUGUGUAGCGGUGAAAUGCGUAGAGAUAUGGAGGAACACCAGUGGCGAAGGCGGCUUCCCGGUCUGUAACUGACACUGAGGCGCGAAAGCGUGGGGAGCAAACA